rnacentral:rRNA from 1 species
UAACACGUAGGGGGCAAGCGUUGUUCGGAAUUACUGGGCGUAAAGGGCAUGUAGGCGGCCUUGUAAGCUUGGCGUGAAAGUCCACGGCUUAACCGUGGGAUUGCGUUGAGAACUGCGAGGCUUGAGUGACGGAGAGGGAGCUAGAAUUCCUGGUGUAGGGGUGGAAUCUGUAGAUAUCAGGAAGAAUACCAAUGGCGAAGGCAAGCUCCUGGCCGAUGACUGACGCUGAGGUGCGAAAGUGUGGGGAUCAAACAGGAUUAGAUACCCUGGUAGUCCACACUGUAAACGAUGUGCACUAGGUGCUGGGGCGGAUGCUUCAGUGCCGUAGCUAACGUGAUAAGUGCACCGCCUGGGGAGUAUGCUCGCAAGGGUGAAACUCAAAUGAAUUGACGG